AUUGAACGCUGGCGGCAUGCCUUACACAUGCAAGUCGAACGGUAACAGGUCUUCGGAUGCUGACGAGUGGCGAACGGGUGAGUAAUACAUCGGAACGUGCCCAGACGUGGGGGAUAACGAGGCGAAAGCUUUGCUAAUACCGCAUACGAUCUAAGGAUGAAAGCAGGGGACCGCAAGGCCUUGCGCGUUUGGAGCGGCCGAUGGCAGAUUAGGUAGUUGGGGGGAUAAAAGCUUACCAAGCCGACGAUCUGUAGCGGGUCUGAGAGGACGACCAGCCACACUGGGACUGAGACACGGCCCAGACUCCUACGGGAGGCAGCAGUGGGGAAUUUUGGACAAUGGGCGAAAGCCUGAUCCAGCAAUGCCGCGUGCAGGAUGAAGGCCUUCGGGUUGUAAACUGCUUUUGUACGGAACGAAAAGGCUCUGGCUAAUACCUGGGGCACAUGACGGUACCGUAAGAAUAAGCACCGGCUAACUACGUG
rnacentral:rRNA from 1 species